GCCUCUUGCCUGCCAACGCUCCUCAGCCACCCCGUGUGACGAUGUUGCAAAAAAAAUACCCUAGCUGAUUUUAUGAAAAUACAAAACGCUCCGCCGCAUCUCAAACCCUAGAUUUCUCAGAUUUCCUCAUCCCUCAUCUCUCCUCCCGUGACGUCGCGCCUCAUCGUCCUCUUCCUCCGCGUGCCGCUGCUACCGUGGCCCCCUUGCCUGCUCGCCUCCACGGCCACACGAAGGCCCCCUGUGUUGCUCUCGGUUCUCACUCCUCCUCUCUAUUUCCUGUGUUGUCGCCCCGCCCCAUGAUCUUCUUCCUCGCGCUAGCACUGGCCCUAUGCCCCCUCCUUUCUCACCUCCAUGGCCUCGCGGAAGCGGACCUUGCCGCGAGUGGUUCCCAGUUCUCCUCACCUCCUCCUCUCUCCUUUCAGGAUAUGCGCUGCCAUCGCUGGCGUAGCCGGAGCUGGCCGUCCACGCAACCCUGCCGCGGGAGGGCGGCGCAUUGAUGCUGGAGCUCACAAGGUGUCGCUGCUGGAGCAGCGUACGACGACGAAGGCGCUGUGGCAGCACCUGGUGCUAGCGCUACACUACUACUGAAUUUUGUGAUGUUGCAAUUUCAUCUUUUAUUUUGUUUUUUGGGGUGAUGCAAAAAAACCAAACUCAAAAGUCUACUAAAGGCCAUAAAUUGAGCAAUGUUGCUGCUUCAAGAAACAAAUUAUCAGCUUAUUCCCAUCUAACCUUUGAUGGGAUUUGGUUUAGCAUUAAGGAAUUCUCAAAAUCAAAAUAGCAGGUACUUGUCACGAUCUCUACUGUGUUUCUUUGAGGUAUUCACUUUUCUAUUUGAAGAACACCACUAAUCGAGUUUAUUUUUCUUAGUUUCAAGUGCCAGAUGAUGCAAGGCUUUCAGCUAGAAGUGUAGCUGUUCUCUGAAAUCUUUGCCAAAAGGUUAAUUUCAUUCUACCUUGCAUGCUACCUGUUUAGCAUGAUCGUUAGUUUAUUCGCUAACAAAAAACUUUGCCGAAUGGAUGACUUCCUUCUGAGAAGACUGAACUGAAUAAUUAUGUCAAAGUUGUUUCAGUAGUUUGGCCUAAUCAGUAUUGAUCUAUGGUGUAUAGUCUACAGGUUGUACUAUAUGGUUGAUUGUUCUGAUUUCGAGCUUGGUUAGUCUAAUGUUCUUAAUUAUGGAUGAUGAUCCUUUGAAGUUCAUGCACGAAGACUUGCCGUUCUGAAGGCCCUUACUUCCUGUUCCACUAGUAGUUCUGAGAUGAUGGAAAAGCUAAACGAAAUCGUGUUUGACAUCUUGGAAAAGGUUGGCCAUCCAUAAUUUGAGUAUUCUUUGUACAGUUACAUUAGUCUUUAAACUACUUUUCUCAUCCUCACUAAUUAUAUUGUCGGCAAUAUAUUGUCGACAAGAAUGGUUCUGGAUAUAUUGAAUGUUCAAUGGUACUCCUAUUGGAUAAUCCUAUCAGCACGACAAGUGCUUCCAUAGCUUAUGAUGUUGAAUUUUGCUGCUCCAUGGCAGCAGCAGCAGCCCCUGCCAGUUGACCAUUCUGACGCCUUCUCCUAGCAUUAUGCUUUCUUGUAGCUUCAUUUGGAAAAGGCAGAUUGCUCAAGGAAUUUCAUGCUUAGUUGCACCACACUAGGGUAUCAUCAAUCAUUCAGCCCCAUUCUACAGAUGUAAAUUGUGCAAAUCCUUUUUCUUUGAGACUUUUGAGAGUGGUCUGUCGAUUACUUGCAAGAAAUAUGAACCUUUGUUUCUGUGCAUGGGCAUAAAACAAACAGCUUCUAGCCUCUUUUACGGUACUUGCACUUGCAAGAAAUGUGAACUCCUUUUCAUUUCUGUAUGUGGACAUAAUGCCAAAGCAUCCAGGAUUUUUCAUGGUUGUUGAUGUCUUUACACAGUUCAUCUCCACCAGUAUGCCCUCCUCAUACUCUAUAUAAACACAUCAACAGCACCGCAAUUAGCCACAUAAACACAUCUCGCAGCCACCUUUUUUUGUUCUGUUGUAAGUAUACUUUCCCUUACCAUCUUUAUUUGUUAGUUUAAUUUGUAAUUGGGAAGUAUUAGUGGAAAGAGGAUGAGACGCUAUCAUCUAUGUACUCUGCAAAUGCAUCUGACGUUAUAUGGGCUGCUUCAUAUAAUUUGAAUUGCUCCAUUCUUGCCGACAAUAUAUUGCAAGGUACAUGUCUAGGAGCUAUUUAAACUACGUCGACCUCACUAAUUAUAAGCAUUGAAAAAGCAACAAUUGCUACAGUGCACUUAAACUUGCAGCUCAUUAUUAUCUGGCUAAGAUGAUGGGCCAACUUAGUUUAUUUGAUCUAAAAAUUGUGAGUCUUAUGUUCUGAACUCAAACUUGUGACAAUUUAUUUUAUUUUCGCAGUCUAUUAUACGUGGUAAUUUGCAAUAUGCUUCUUUAAGUGCACUCAGAAGGCAUCCACUUGAUCUCGGUAAUCAAGCAUUCCUCCACCAAGCUGUGGAAGGAUUAAAUACAGGAACAUGACCCCUGAAGCAGCUUUGGAUCAUGUACGAUCCAUUAGGCCUCGAGUGCUUUUGGCACCCUCGCAGUGGUAUGUAUGCAGCCUUUUGUGAUUGCAUUAUAAGUUAUUAGUACAAUACUACUGCGUUAAGACACUUUAUGACACCAUGUGCUGCAUCAGGUUAGUAAGCUGUCAUGGUUCUGUUUUAAUACACGCAGGUCACUCAAGUAGAUCUAAAGUUAUUCUUUGAGUCCAUAUGUGGUGAGGUUGGUCGUUCUUUACUCCAAACACAAUCUCCCUUCUGUAUAGCUAAAAGUUUGCAGAAAUGGCACCAUCAAGAUCGAUCUGGAGACCAACAAGAUCAUGGACUUCAUCAAGUUUGACGUCGACAAUGUGGUCAUGGUGACCGGCGGGAGGAACACCGGGCGUGUAGGAGUGAUCAAGAACAGGGAGAAGCACAAGGGCAGCUUCGAGACCAUCCACGUGCUGCUUGGAGCUUUUUGCUAUGUCUAGUUUUAUCCUAUUUGUUGUACAGGAAAACAUAGAACGGAAUUCAAAUUUGGUGGCCACAAAAGUGUGGAGACUUGAAUUCAUAUAAAGUUAGCCUUAACAUUAGUGCAAACAGUUGUAUCUUAGUUUAGAUUUAGAGUACACUUAUGUAUGCGUUGUUUGACAAUGCUUAUUUAUGAUAUAUUGAAUGGUACUUAUUUA